CCUGUUUAACAAAAACAUGUCUUUUUGAGUUAUUUUUAAAGUCUGACCUGCCCACUGAAGUUAUUUAAAUGGCCGCAGUAUUCUAACUGUGCAAAGGUAGCAUAAUCAUUAGUCUUUUAAUUGAAGGCUGGUAUGAACGGUUGGACGAGGUAUAAGCUGUUUCAUAUAAAUUUAUAAUAGAAUUUUAUAUUUUAGUCAAAAAGCUAAAAUUUAAUUAAAAGACGAGAAGACCCUAUAAAUCUUUAUACUUCAUGCUGUUUAAAUUUUUUAGAUUAAUUUUAUUUUUAUAGUUUGAAGUAUUUUGUUGGGGUGAUAUUAAAAUUUAAUGAACUUUUAAUUAUUAAAAAUCAUUAAUUUAUGAAUUAUUGAUCCAUUAGUAGUGAUUAUAAGAUUAAGUUACUUUAGGGAUAACAGCGUAAUUUUUUUGGAGAGUUCAUAUCGAUAAAAAAGUUUGCGACCUCGAUGUUGGAUUAAGAUAUAUUUUUAGGUGUAGCUGCUUAAAU
rnacentral:rRNA from 1 species